GGGGGGCCUANCAUGCAAGUCGAGCGCGGGAAGCGAGCUGAUCCCCUUCGGGGGUGACGCUCGUGGAACGAGCGGCGGACGGGUGAGUAACACGUGGGUAACCUGCCUGUAAGAUCGGAAUAACUCCGGGAAACCGGAGCUAAUGCCGGGUAAUACUUUCUUUCGCAUGAAGGAAAGUUGAAAGAUGGCUUCUUGCUAUCACUUACAGAUGGACCCGCGGCGCAUUAGCUAGUUGGUGAGGUAACGGCUCACCAAGGCGACGAUGCGUAGCCGACCUGAGAGGGUGAUCGGCCACACUGGGACUGAGACACGGCCCAGACUCCUACGGGAGGCAGCAGUAGGGAAUCUUCCGCAAUGGACGAAAGUCUGACGGAGCAACGCCGCGUGAACGAUGAAGGUCUUCGGAUCGUAAAGUUCUGUUGUUAGGGAAGAACAAGUACCGUUCGAAUAGGGCGGUACCUUGACGGUACCUAACGAGGAAGCCCCGGCUAACUACGUGCCAGCAGCCGCGGUAAUACGUAGGGGGCAAGCGUUGUCCGGAAUUAUUGGGCGUAAAGCGCUCGCAGGCGGUUCCUUAAGUCUGAUGUGAAAGCCCACGGCUCAACCGUGGAGGGUCAUUGGAAACUGGGGAACUUGAGGACAGAAGAGGAGAGUGGAAUUCCACGUGUAGCGGUGAAAUGCGUAGAUAUGUGGAGGAACACCAGUGGCGAAGGCGACUCUCUGGUCUGUCUCUGACGCUGAGGAGCGAAAGCGUGGGUAGCAAACAGGAUUAGAUACCCUGGUAGUCCACGCCGUAAACGAUGAGUGCUAGGUGUUAGGGGGCUUUCCACCCCUUAGUGCUGAAGUUA
rnacentral:rRNA from 1 species